rnacentral:lncRNA from 1 species
UUUCAACUGAAGAAUGUCUGGAAUUUGGACUUAGGAGAAAGGCUGGACAGGAUUGUAGUUGUAGCCUGGUAACCUUACAGCAGUUACUGGGGCUGUUAUUAUUAUUACUUCAAUCUUAUGUAGAAAUUUGCAAACUGCUUUAUAGUCAUUUUACGCAGAAAAACAAGAACUGACUUACUGUUGCCAAAGAGUGUUCAAAAAUUGCUGACAGCUAAAGAAAGACUCAUUCUGGUGAGGAACAACCACCACCUGCUGUUGGAAGUCAACCCAAAGGCUCUGGCUGGUGUUUGGUAGAAAUCUGUCAUCAUGCCUAGCAGAAAACCCCUCCAUCAAGCGAUGAGUUCCCCAGGUUGGGGAAAUUGAAGUGUGAGGCUUAAGUGACCUGCCCAAAGCUGGUUCAUAGUGGGUGACUCCUUCACUUGUCUUCAGGUUUAAAAGUCAAGACUCCUUCCAUCAUCGUCAUGUGAAUGCCAAGACGACACGUUCCAUAUUAUCCCCAAAUUUGUUUUUCCAUUUAUCUUCAAGAAAUCUGAGAAUUAAGCUGCCUGCCUCCCAGAAACGUGGUCUGAACAAACACCAUCAUCUUGCAGCAGCUCCAAGGAUCUGCCAACAGCACUUGGAUGAUGCUCACUGAAGCACGUAUCACGAGAACUGAGAUGGGAAGACAAAGAAUGAAGAACAAAGCAAUUAUUCCACUCUAAACAAUAGAUGCCUUGGAAUUAAACAAUCUUUAGCAGUUAAAUGACCUAUGUACCCACUCUCUUUUCUUAUCCAUCACCAACAUGUACAUU